rnacentral:misc_RNA from 1 species
GAAGCGUGAACCUUGUAGCUAUCCCAAGUCAAUUUAUGCCCAAUUUUUCAAUAAUUUCCAUUAACUCAUCCUUUGGUUGUAAUUUGAUACUUGAUUGGAUAAUCCAUACUUCUCGUUGAUUCCUUGAAUUCUUUUGUCGGCCAUGGCUGUAGACGAGGAAAUGGUACCAAAGAAGAAGAAAGAGCCCACAGAAAACGAGAAGAGGAGAAUGAAAAUUGU